rnacentral:rRNA from 1 species
CGCUCUCUUCGGAGGGAGCGGCAGACGGGUGAGUAACGCGUGGGAACCUACCCAGGGGUACGGAAUAACUCAUGGAAACGUAAGCUAAUACCGUAUACGUCCUGUGGGAGAAAGAUUUAUCGCCCUUGGAUGGGCCCGCGUUGGAUUAGUUAGUUGGUGGGGUAAUGGCCUACCAAGACUACGAUCUAUAGCUGUUCUGAGAGGAAGAUCAGCCACACUGGGACUGAGACACGGCCCAG